rnacentral:rRNA from 1 species
UACGUAGGGUGCGAGCGUUGUCCGGAAUUACUGGGCGUAAAGGGCGCGCAGGCUGUUAUGCGAGUCUGCUGUGAAAUGUACCGGCUCAACCGGUGCCUUGCGGCGGAUACUGCAUAGCUGGAGUACUGGAGAGGGAAGUGGAAUUCCCUGUGUAGCGGUGAAAUGCGUAGAUAUCGGGAGGAACACCGGUGGCGAAGGCGGCUUUCUGGCCAGUUACUGACGCUCAUGCGCGAAAGCUGGGGUAGCGAACCGGAUUAGA